AAGCCCACCGGCAUGCACGUGCUCAACCACAGAUAGGUGGAGCCACGGCUGCGCCUAUUCGAUCAGAGGAUUGUGGAGCAGCAAGCGUGAAUAUGCGACCACAGACAGUGGGGGGCGCCACUAGUGGGAAGGCCCAGGCGAAACCAAAGAAUAACUUUGAGAAGCUGAUGCUACGGUUACAGAAGAGUUUCCCUCAGCAGUCAAAGUCUGCACUGACGAAGCUGAUUAAAGGAGGUAAGGACGAGCGUGGCGGAACACUGUCUGGCAUGCCAUCGACACGAUCGUCGACAAGAUCCGAGAGAAGGUUGCAAAGCAGACAGAGAUGCAGCGUCAGUCACCUGCGUGGAAUGUGCCACCAAAAAGAAUCUCCAAAAGUCACAGUUCACCGAGCAGGAGGAUGAGGAGCCGUGUGUGAUUUGUCACGAGGAGAUUAAGAUUUCCCCUUCUCUGAAGCUAAAGUGUGGUCACAAGUAUCACACUGAGUGCAUCAAGCGAUGGUUGAAGAAGCAGAGCACAUGCCCCACAUGCAGAGUCCACGCUCUCAUCCCUGAUGAAUUCCCCGAGCUUAGUCGCAGCUAACUAACGCGUGCGUCGGUUCGGCAAAUAGAUCUCCUCGAGUGUUUGGUUUUGAAUGGUUAGUAGAUUGCCUAAACGCAAUAAAGCCAGUGAACGUUCCGUUGAAGAACACGUUGUGUUAAAGAACACGUUCUGUUGAAGAACAUGUUGCAUUAAAGAACACGUUCCGUUGAAGAACACGUUCUGUUAAAGAACACGAUCUGUUGAAGAACACGAUCUGUUGAAGAACACGUUCUGUUAAAGAACACCUUAUUAUAGCUUUAUGAACCAUGUUAUACUCGUAAACAGAAUAUUAUAACUGUGCACGCCAUGUUAUAAUCCACUAUAUAGUUCUAUUCCAAAUUGGAAGUUUUUAGUUAAUAGUUUUUCGUAGUUUUCCGUUUGAUUUUAUGAUCGUAGUAAUUAGAAAGAAAUAACGCGAAUCCUGUAUUUUGUUUAUAUAUUAUGUUGCCCUUUUAAAUGUGGUAGCAUACGCAUUUAAACCUUAUAUGUUCGCAGUUUGAAAAUCAUCUUAUGUGGAUUAUUUAUAAUCCUAGUGAUGUAGUUUGAAAUCAGAUCGGUCUUCACAUCACAAUCAAAUCACAUCUUGUCAGAUUGGGUUUUCACUCGCAUAAAUUAAUGACGAUGUUGUUGAAACAUGGCGCUGCAUUUGCGCUUUCUUACGAGUGACGCAUGGAUGAUAUUUUACAGGCUGAUGUUAACGGUAGUAUCUGGUGAUUUCCCAUGAUGAUGCAGAUAUUAAUCCUGGAUGGAUCUUUACGUCACAAUCUUCAUUACACAAUUUAUUUUUGUGAUUGGCAAUUUAAAAUUGGAUUUCAAUUAAUGUAGAUUCAUUUGGCUAGAGUGUAAAAGUAGUGGGCGAGACAGCUCUACAGUAUUGAAGCGUGGUUGCCUGCGAUCAUAUAUGUCAUCAAUAGAUGUUUACUACGGAUCGUGAUGUGUGAUCGUGAACUGGAGAUUCCUUACCUUGGCCUGAGUUUAUUUUAUAAAAAAUCUAUUGCGGAGGUCAUCGGGAGUUUAAAACCAACUCCUGAUCAUAUUUUUUUUACAUGUAAUUAAAGAUUUUUGAUUAAAAAUUUAAGCGUAGGACUUACGCGUUUGCAUUUUUUAUGUA